UUGAAUGAACUUGGUCGAGUUGUUGCUGAUCCUUAGGGAUAUGUGCACGCUUGACUCUCGUUUCUAACCACCUGUGCACCUUUUGUAGACCGGAGUUUUAUUUUCCUCUUAGGAAAAUUUGGAAAUUGCGUGUAGCUUUUCCUGUUUCUCCUGGUCUAUGUUCUUAUAUACUCUUGAAAUGUAUAGAAUGUCAUUUUUAGGUUUUUAUAAACCUAUAAAAUUAUAUA
rnacentral:misc_RNA from 1 species